GUAGGCGGUUUGUCGCGUCUGCUGUGAAAACCCGAGGCUCAACCUCGGGCCUGCAGUGGGUACGGGCAGACUAGAGUGCGGUAGGGGAGAAUGGAAUUCCUGGUGUAGCGGUGGAAUGCGCAGAUAUCAGGAGGAACACCGAUGGCGAAGGCAGUUCUCUGGGCCGUUACUGACGCUGAGGAGCGAAAGCGUGGGGAGCGAACAGGAUUAGAUACCCUGGUAGUCCACGCCGUAAACGUUGGGAACUAGAUGUGGGGACCUUUCCACGGUCUCCGUGUCGCAGCUAACGCAUUAAGUUCCCCGCCUGGGGAGUACGGCCGCAAGGCUAAAACUCAAAGGAAUUGACGGGGGCCCGCACAAGCGGCGGAGCAUGCGGAUUAAUUCGAUGCAACGCGAAGAACCUUACCAAGGCUUGACAUAUACCGGAAACGUCCAGAAAUGGUCGCCCCGCAAGGUCGGUAUACAGGUGGUGCAUGGUUGUCGUCAGCUCGUGUCGUGAGAUGUUGGGUUAAGUCCCGCAACGAGCGCAACCCUCGUUCUAUGUUGCCAGCACGUUAUGGUGGGAACUCAUAGGAGACUGCCGGGGUCAACUCGGAGGAAGGUGGGGAUGACGUCAAAUCAUCAUGCCCCUUAUGUCUUGGGCUUCACGCAUGCUACAAUGGCCGGUACAAAGGGCUGCGAUACC
rnacentral:rRNA from 1 species